CUCAGGAUGAACGCUGGCGGUCUGCUUAACACAUGCAAGUCGAACGCAACCUUCGGGUUGAGUGGCGGACGGGUGAGUAACGCGUGAGAAUCUGCCUUGGGGUCGGGGACAACCACUGGAAACGGUGGCUAAUACCGGAUAAGCCUUUGGGUAAAAAAUUUAUUGCCCCAAGAGGAGCUCGCGUCUGAUUAGCUAGUUGGUGAGGUAAGAGCUCACCAAGGCAGCGAUCAGUAGCUGGUCUGAGAGGACGAUCAGCCACACUGGAACUGAGACACGGCCCAGACUCCUACGGGAGGCAGCAGUGGGGAAUUUUCCGCAAUGGGCGAAAGCCUGACGGAGCAAGACCGCGUGAGGGAGGAAGGCUCUUGGGUUGUAAACCUCUUUUCUCAGGGAAGAAGCUCUGACGGUACCUGAGGAAUCAGCCUCGGCUAACUCCGUGCCAGCAGCCGCGGUAAUACGGAGGAGGCAAGCGUUAUCCGGAAUUAUUGGGCGUAAAGCGUCCGCAGGUGGCGAUUCAAGUCUGCUGUCAAAGCACGGGGCUUAACUCCGUUAAGGCAGUGGAAACUGAAUAGCUAGAGUGCCGUAGGGGUAGAGGGAAUUCCCGGUGUAGCGGUGAAAUGCGUAGAGAUCGGGAAGAACAUCGGUGGCGAAAGCGCUCUACUGGACGGCAACUGACACUCAGGGACGAAAGCUAGGGGAGCGAAUGGGAUUAGAUACCCCAGUAGUCCUAGCUGUAAACGAUGGAUACUAGGUGUAGCUUGUAUCGACCCGAGCUGUGCCGAAGCUAACGCGUUAAGUAUCCCGCCUGGGGAGUACGCACGCAAGUGUGAAACUCAAAGGAAUUGACGGGGGCCCGCACAAGCGGUGGAGUAUGUGGUU
rnacentral:rRNA from 1 species